GGAUGAACGCUGGCGGUAUGCUUAACACAUGCAAGUCGUACGGUUUAAAUCGUGGCGGACGGGGGAGUAAUGUCCAAGAAUUUUCCCUUAGGAGAGGGAUAACAGACAGAAAUGUUUGAUAAUACCCCGUAAUGCUAUUAAGUUAAAGAAGAUAUACUUCGCCUAGGUAUGAGCUUGUAUCUGAUUAGCUAGUUGGUUAGGUAAUGGCUGACCAAGGCAAUGAUCAGUAGCUGGUUUGAGAGAAUGUCCAGCCACACUGGAAUUGAGAUACGGAACAGACUCCUACGGGAGGCAGCAGUGAGGAAUUUUCCGCAAUGGGCGAAAGCCUGACGGAGCAAUACCGCGUGGAGGAUGAAAGCCUUUGGGUUGUAAACUUCUUUUACCACUGAUGAAUAUUGACAGUAGGUGGUGAAUAAGCACCGGCUAAUUUCGUGCCAGCAGCCGCGGUAAUACGAGAGGUGCAAGCGUUAUUCGGAUUUAUUGGGCGUAAAGCGUUUGUAGGUGGUUUAAUAAGUUUAAUGUUAAAUGUUAAAGCUUAACUUUGAUACGGCGUUAAAAACUGCUAAACUUGAGUACGGUAGAGGUAAGGGGAAUUCCCGGUGGAGAAGUGAAAUUUGUAGAUAUCGGGAGGAACACCAAUGGCGAAGGCACCUUACUGGGCUGAUACUGACACUGAAAAACGAAAGCUGAGGUAGCAAACAGGAUUAGAUACCCUGGUAGUCUCAGCCGUAAACUAUGGGUACUAAGUGGUGCUUUAAGGUGCUGCUGUAGCUAACGCGUUAAGUAUCCCGCCUGGGGAGUACGUUCACAGUAAUGAAACUCAAAGGAAUUGAUCGGGGCCCGCACAAGCGGUGGAGCAUGUGGUUUAAUUCGAUGCAACACGAAAAACCUUACCAGGAUUUGACAUGUUAGGAAGUUUUUAGAAAUAAAACCGUGCCUUAGGGAGCCUAAACACAGGUGGUGCAUGGCUGUCGUCAGCUCGUGUCGUGAGAUGUUGGGUUAAGUCCCGCAACGAGCGCAACCCUCGUUUUUAGUUAUAUUGUCUAAAAAGACUGCCGGUGAUAAGCUGGAGGAAGGUGAGGAUGAGGUCAAGUCAUCAUGCCCCUUAUAUCCUGGGCUACACACGUGCUACAAUGGUUAAGACAAUAAGUUGCAAACUUGUGAAAGUAAGCUAAUCUUUUAAACUUAAUCCUAGUUCGGACUGCAGGCUGCAACUCGCCUGCACGAAGUCGGAAUCGCUAGUAAUCGCCGGUCAGCUAUACGGCGGUGAAUCCGUUCUCGGGCCUUGUACACACCGCCCGUCACAUUUUAGGAGCCGGCCUUGCCUGACGAUAUUAUUUUAACUUUUAGGGAGAAAUGUUUAAAGCCGGGUUGGUAACAAAAAUGAAGUCGUAACAAGGUAGCCGUACU
rnacentral:rRNA from 1 species